CUCUGCUCUUAGCACAUCCUGCCUCGAAGUACACUUGUACAUGUGUUGUCCUUCCAAUUGGAUCACAAGCUUUCUGAGAAAAGAUUAUUUUGGCAGCUGUGUUGAAGACGGAUUAUAAAAGGGAGAGGCUAGAAGAAGGCGGACCAACCAGGAAGACUUGGCAAUAAUCCAGGUUAGAGUGUCUGAUCGACUCUAGAGACAGAAGGUAUGGAACAAAGCAGAAGAGACAAUUAGAUGGAGAACCCUGACCUGUGAGACUUAAUUUGAUGAUGAAGACGUAUUUGUUUUGCUGUUGUCCAGACGUGUGUGGCCCGCAUUUGGAGUUUUCUCGGCAAAGAUAGUAGAGCG